CCUACGGGUGGCAGCAGUGGGGAAUAUUGCACAAUGGACGAAACCCUGAUCCAGCGACGCCGCGUGAGUGAAGAAGUAAUUAUUUAUGUUAAGCUCUUUCAGUAGGGAAGAAAAUGACGGUACCUGUGUCUGAAUCCCCGUCUAACUCCGUGCCAGCAGCCGCGGUAAUACGUAGGGGGCCAGCGUUAUCCGGAUUUACUGGGUGUAAAGGGAGCGUAGACGGUGCGCCAAGUCUGGAGUGAAAUGCCGCAGCUGAACAGCGGAACUGCCUUGGAGACUGGCGAACUAGAGUGUGGGAGGGGAAAGCGGAAUUCUUAGUGUAGCGGUGAAAUGCGUAGAUAUCAGGAGGAACACCGAUGGCGAAGGCAGCUUACCGGACCAUAACUGACGUUGAGGCACGAAAGCGUGGGGAGCAAACAGGAUUAGAUACCCUAGUAGUC
rnacentral:rRNA from 1 species